UACCAGCUCUCCGAGUGGUAGGGAUGUUUAUUGGGCUUAAAGCGUCCGUAGCCGGCUUAGCAAGUCUCCUGUUAAAUUCAGCGACCUAAUCGUUGAGCCGCGGGAGAUACUACUAGGCUAGGAGGCGGGAGAGGUCAACGGUACUUCCGGGGUAGGGGUGAAAUCCUAUAAUCCCGGGAGGACCACCAGUGGCGAAGGCUGUUGACUAGAACGCGCUCGACGGUGAGGGACGAAAGCUGGGGGAGCGAACCGGAUUAGAUACCCGGGUAGUCCCAGCUGUAAACGAUGCGAGCUAGGUGUUGGGGUGGCUACGUGCCACUUCAGUGCCGCAGGGAAGCCAUUAAGCUCGCCGCCUGGGGAGUACGGCCGCAAGGCUGAAACUUAAAGGAAUUGGCGGGGGAGCACCACAAGGCGUGAAGCUUGCGGUUC
rnacentral:rRNA from 1 species